AGGCUGGGCCUGGCUGUGGGCAGCCGAGAGAGGUCACCAGGGAACGGACCAUGUGUCUUCUCUCCAGACCCGGCCACAGCUGGUGGACUUCCUGAGAAGGGCAGUGAGACCGGCCACUCUACCCCUGCUGCAGGAGACCCCAGGAGGUGACGUAUGCUCAGCUGGACCACCAAGCCCUCACAGAAGGGG